UUUGUAAUUUCUGAUUCAAAUUUUUUAAACUUUUGCAAUUAAAUCUCAUAAUCCAAUUUAGAUUAUUAGAUGAUGUUGUGCCAUUAAGCAUAAUUAUGUGGGACAUUUUAGUCAUUGUGACACAAUUAACUGCAAAAUUGUUAUAUCACUAUCGCAUUAUUAAUAUAUCGACAUUCAGCCAACUAACAUUCAGUAUAUUUUAGAUUUUGAAAGAACGUAAAAACUCCCAUUAUAAAUUAUAAUAUAAUAAAAUUA
rnacentral:lncRNA from 1 species